CCAACCAGGCGGCGUGGAAAGAAUGCAAGUCGAGCGCUGAUUACGAGGUAGCAAUAUUUCGUAGUCGGAGCGGCGCAAGGGUGCGUAACACGUGGGUAACCUGCCAUGAAGUUUGGGAUAACUUGCUGAAAGGCGAGCUAAUACCGGAUGUGACGAUCGGAGGGCAUCUUCCGAUCUUCAAAGCUGGGGACCGUAAGGCCUGGCGCUUCAUGAUGAGCCCGCGGCCUAUCAGCUAGUUGGUGAGGUAACGGCUCACCAAGGCUAAGACGGGUAGCUGGUCUGAGAGGACGACCAGCCACACUGGAACUGAGACACGGUCCAGACACCUACGGGUGGCAGCAGUCGAGAAUUUUUCACAAUGGGCGCAAGCCUGAUGGAGCGACGCCGCGUGGGGGAUGAAUGGCUUCGGCCCGUAAACCCCUGUCAUUUGCGAACAAUUCGGUUCAAUUAACACCUGAACCGUUGAUAGUAGCGAAAGAGGAAGGGACGGCUAACUCUGUGCCAGCAGCCGCGGUAAUACAGAGGUCCCAAGCGUUGUUCGGAUUCACUGGGCGUAAAGGGUGCGUAGGUGGUGAGGUAAGUCGGAUGUGAAAUCUCGGAGCUCAACUCCGAAACUGCAUUGGAAACUACCUCGCUCGAGGGUUGGAGGGGGGACUGGAAUGCUUGGUGUAGCAGUGAAAUGCGUAGAUAUCAAGCGGAACACCAGUGGCGAAGGCGAGUCCCUGGACAACUCCUGACACUGAUGCACGAAAGCUAGGGGAGCAAACAGGAUUAGAUACCCUGGUAGUCCUAGCCGUAAACGGUGCGUGUUUGCUGUAAGAGGAAUCGACCCCUUUUGUGGCGGAGCCAACGCGUUAAACACGCCGCCUGGGAAGUACGGUCGCAAGAUUAAAACUCAAAGAAAUUGACGGGGGCCUGCACAAGCGGUGGAGUAUGUGGCUCAAUUCGAUGCAACGCGAAGAACCUUACCUGGCCUUGACAUGUACGUAGUAGAAGGGUGAAAGCCUGACGAGAUAGCAAUAUCAGCGUACACAGGUGCUGCAUGGCUGUCGUUCAGCUCGUGUCGUGGAGAUGUUGGGUUAAGUCCCGCAACGAGCGCAACCCCUGUGGUCCUGUUGCACCCCGGCUGAAAGGCUUGAGGCACUCUGGACAGACUGCCCUCGCCUUAAACCGAAGGAAGGAAGGGUGGGGGGAUGGA
rnacentral:rRNA from 1 species